GGCCGCGAGGCCGGUUGGAUAGAGCGCUGCCCUCCGAAGGCAGAGGCCAGAGGUUCGAAUCCUCUCGGGUGCG
rnacentral:tRNA from 1 species